rnacentral:lncRNA from 10 species
AAUCAUUUUAACAUAAAUGAAUGUUAAAUAACCAUUUUAAAAUAUAUUUUUUAAGUGCAAAUCGCAUAAGAUCAUAUAAAUGUGUAUAAAGACAAAGGUAGGGAAAACAACAAAAAAUUAAAUCAUAUAUUUAAUGAAAAUAGUUUAAAAGAAUAUUCAAUUCAGAUUUUCACAGCCCAACAUGAUGUUAUUCAUACAUACUUUUAUGUAAAACUGAAUAAUUUAACUUUUUAACAAGUUCAGAUUAUGAUGUAAUGGUUACUGGGGUCAUAUGUGGACAGAUCAUAAACUUGUGGGUUUUAAGAAAUUUUUACUACAAGAAACAAAUAUAUACUUAUUCCCAAACACAUCAAGUUGUAUACAUUAAAUAUCUAAAGCUUUUUGUAGGUCAUCACACCUAAAUAAAGCAUUUUUAAAAAGAUUACAUUUCUAUUAAAACUUAAGUAUUAAAGUACUAAAACUGAAGUACUAAAGUACUAAAAUAAAUUUGGCCCAAGCUGUUGCUCAAGUUCUGGCUGGACUGCUGACAGGGAGGGGAAUGGGGCAAGAACAUUAGUUUCUCCUGACCAAACUGGAGUGGCCAGCCAUCAAAGAGUUGGCUCCACAAAGGGCCUUUAAAUUGCUGGCAAUUGAAACACACAUAUAUUAUUUGCCUUAAUUGUUCUCAAACAUUUCUUAAUAUCAAUUUGAGAUGUUGCAAUCUUUUCCUCAUGUUUUCAGAAUUAACUGGAAAACGACGACUGCAGUGGCAGUAGUGGGGAGUGGUAAUCGAGCAGAUCUGGGUUCUGGUGGCAUGAUGAUCACAGAACUAUUAAAGCAAGCUCAUGAAUAGGAGAUUAAAGCACAAGGCCUCAAAUAUCCUGCUUAUAAGCACAUAUUAGUCAGUGCCCCAUAGACCUCUUAGAAGAUAGGGGGACACACUGAAGGGAAGCUGAGACAGCCUGGGGGUAAGCAGGGAAAGAGAGCGUAAAGAGAGUAACAAAGAAAAUGUGCCAAUAUAUAAAAAUAUGGCUACUUCACAAUGGUGAAAUUACGGAAUCAUUUUUUAUUUGCAGCCUCCCUUUUUUUUCUCCAACCAUGCAUGUGAUGAGAAGCAGGAGAAAGUUAAUCCAA